CAAGGACCAACUAGACAUCUAGAGCAACUCUCCUUCUCAACCCCAUGAUUGCAGGCACUCAUUAUUGCCACAGUCUCCAUUGAAAAGACUCCAUCCAGUGUCCUUACAAAUCGUGGACGAAGUUGGGGACUCUGUUGCCUUCAUGGCCUCCAAGCAACAUUAGAAGGGCAAGACUCUGGUUCUUCAGAGAACAAAUGGCAAGGCUCCAGUCAAGUGCCCCAAGAUAGUUGUGGAUCAUGAGUUACCAUCAAUGGCAACAUGAGGAGAAUUGAUACCUGCACUCCGUC